rnacentral:ncRNA from 1 species
GUAUUGUAUGAAAGGAGAGAGCAUUAACACUCCCUCCACAAGGACAAAAGACAAGGAUGGAUGCGACAUGCAUAUAGGUAAGGCACUGUCACCUUCUUCACAGAGUCUAACCAUCCUUUUUU